AGAGUUUGAUCCUGGCUCAGAUUGAACGCUGGCGGCAGGCCUAACACAUGCAAGUCGAGCGGAUGAGUGGAGCUUGCUCCAUGAUUCAGCGGCGGACGGGUGAGUAAUGCCUAGGAAUCUGCCUGGUAGUGGGGGACAACGUUUCGAAAGGAACGCUAAUACCGCAUACGUCCUACGGGAGAAAGCAGGGGACCUUCGGGCCUUGCGCUAUCAGAUGAGCCUAGGUCGGAUUAGCUAGUUGGUGAGGUAAAGGCUCACCAAGGCGACGAUCCGUAACUGGUCUGAGAGGAUGAUCAGUCACACUGGAACUGAGACACGGUCCAGACUCCUACGGGAGGCAGCAGUGGGGAAUAUUGGACAAUGGGCGAAAGCCUGAUCCAGCCAUGCCGCGUGUGUGAAGAAGGUCUUCGGAUUGUAAAGCACUUUAAGUUGGGAGGAAGGGCAGUAAGUUAAUACCUUGCUGUUUUGACGUUACCGGCAGAAUAAGCACCGGCUAACUUCGUGCCAGCAGCCGCGGUAAUACGAAGGGUGC
rnacentral:rRNA from 1 species